rnacentral:rRNA from 1 species
AGAUUGAACGCUGGCGGCAUGCCUAACACAUGCAAGUCGAACGGGAGUAGCAAUACUCUAGUGGCGGACGGGUGAGGAAUACGUAGGAAUUUGCCCUUAAGUGGGGGAUAACCCGGGGAAACCCGGAUUAAUACCGCAUGACCUCGAAAGAGCAAAGUGGGUGAUCGCAAGACCUCACGCUUUUGGAGAAGCCUACGUCGGAUUAGCUAGUUGGUGAGGUAAUGGCUCACCAAGGCGACGAUCCGUAACUGGUCUGAGAGGAUGAUCAGUCACACCGGAACUGAGACACGGUCCGGACUCCUACGGGAGGCAGCAGUGGGGAACAUUGGACAAUGGGCGCAAGCCUGAUCCAGCAAUGCCGCGUGUGUGAAGAAGGCCUUGGGUUGUAAAGCGACUUUAAGUUAGGAAGUAAAAACUCGCUCUAACACAGUGAGUCUUGACGGUACCGACAGAAUAAGCACCGACUAACUCUGU